rnacentral:rRNA from 1 species
CCUACGGGCGGCAGCAGUGAGGAAUAUUGGUCAAUGGACGAGAGUCUGAACCAGCCAAGUAGCGUGAAGGAUGACUGCCCUAUGGGUUGUAAACUUCUUUUAUAUGGGAAUAAAAUGUUCCACGUGUGGGAUUUUGUAUGUACCAUAUGAAUAAGGAUCGGCUAACUCCGUGCCAGCAGCCGCGGUAAUACGGAGGAUCCGAGCGUUAUCCGGAUUUAUUGGGUUUAAAGGGAGCGUAGGUGGAUUGUUAAGUCAGUUGUGAAAGUUUGCGGCUCAACCGUAAAAUUGCAGUUGAAACUGGCAGUCUUGAUUACAGUAGAGGUGGGCGGAAUUCGUGGUGUAGCGGUGAAAUGCUUAGAUAUCACGAAGAACUCCGAUUGCGAAGGCAGUUCACUGGACUGCAACUGACACUGAGGCUCGAAAGUGUGGGUAUCAAACAGGAUUAGAUACCCCAGUAGUC